rnacentral:piRNA from 1 species
UUUCCACAGAAGCAUUGAAAAGGGCA